rnacentral:rRNA from 1 species
UACGUAGGGAGCGAGCGUUGUCCGGAUUCAUUGGGCGUAAAGAGCUCGUAGGCGGCUUGGUAAGUCGGAUGUGAAACCUCCAGGCUCAACCUGGAGUCGCCAUCCGAUACUGCCAUGGCUAGAGUCCGGUAGGGGCCCACGGAAUUCCUGGUGUAGCGGUGAAAUGCGCAGAUAUCAGGAGGAACACCAACGGCGAAAGCACUCUGCUGGGCCGACACUGACACUGAGAGACGAAAGCUAGGGGAGCGAAUGGG